ensembl:rRNA 5S_rRNA 5S ribosomal RNA
GAACUUGUUCAUACCACCCUGAACACACCCAAUCUUCUCUGUUCUCAAAAGCUAAGCAGAGUCAGUUCUGGUCAGUACUUGGAUAAGAGACUCGAGAAUUUUUUUCC